rnacentral:rRNA from 1 species
CCUACGGGAGGCAGCAGUGGGGAAUCUUGCGCAAUGGGCGAAAGCCUGACGCAGCCAUGCCGCGUGAAUGAUGAAGGUCUUAGGAUUGUAAAAAUUCUUUCACCGGGGACGAUAAUGACGGUACCCGGAGAAGAAGCCCCGGCUAACUUCGUGCCAGCAGCCGCGGUAAUACGAAGGGGGCUAGCGUUGCUCGGAAUUACUGGGCGUAAAGGGAGCGUAGGCGGAUAGUUUAGUCAGAGGUGAAAGCCCAGGGCUCAACCUUGGAAUUGCCUUUGAUACUGGCUAUCUUGAGUAUGGGAGAGGUUAGCGGAACUCCGAGUGUAGAGGUGAAAUUCGUAGAUAUUCGGAAGAACACCAGUGGCGAAGGCGGCUAACUGGCCCAUUACUGACGCUGAGGCUCGAAAGCGUGGGGAGCAAACAGGAUUAGAUACCCUGGUAGUCCACGCCGUAAACGAUGAGUGCUAGUUGUCGGCAUGCAUGCAUGUCGGUGACGCAGCUAACGCAUUAAGCACUCCGCCUGGGGAGUACGGUCGCAAGAUUAAAACUCAAAAGUAGAAGUUGACGUCGNGAGACGUCGACGACGACGACGACGAGGGAGGAG